CCUACGGGAGGCAGCAGUAAGGAAUCUUCCACAAUGGGCGAAAGCCUGAUGGAGCAACACCGCGUGAAGGAUGAAGGCCUUAGGGUCGUAAACUUCUUUUAUGAGCGAAGGAUAUGACGGUAACUCAUGAAUAAGGGUCGGCUAACUACGUGCCAGCAGCCGCGGUAAU
rnacentral:rRNA from 1 species